UCCCUAGUGGUGUAAUGGUUAGCAUUUCUGCUUUUCAAUAUAAAAACCUCGGUGCUUCCAGAUUUGAAAUUGCAGGAGACCAGGGUUCAAUUCCCUGUUAGGGAA
rnacentral:tRNA from 1 species